CGCCUACGGGAGGCAGCAGUAGGGAAUCUUCCACAAUGGACGAAAGUCUGAUGGAGCAACGCCGCGUGAGUGAAGAAGGGUUUCGGCUCGCAAAGCUCUGUUGGUAGUGAAGAAAGAUAGAGGUAGUAACUGGCCUUUAUUUGACGGUAAUUACUUAGAAAGUCACGGCUAACUACGAGCCAGCAGCCGCGGUAAUACGUAGGUGGCAAGCGUUGUCCGGAUUUAUUGGGCGUAAAGCGAGUGCAGGCGGGUCAAUAAAGCUGAUGUAAAAGCCUUCGGCUCAACCGGAGAAUUGCAUCCGAAAA
rnacentral:rRNA from 1 species